CUGGAGGGUAACAGCUGAGAAGAGGCCUGACACGUUGAAGUUGAUGUCUGGAGACAGAAGGAGCGGAGACGGCUCUCAGAGACCGCGCCAGGCUCCUCACUCCACUGGCCGGGACCGUUUCCCCUUCCCCUGAACCCAUCUGGACCAUGUUCAGCUUCCCCACUCCCGUGUGAGCCUCACCACCACCCCACAAAGCAGGCAGACCAUCCCCGUUGUAAAAAUGAGAAACUGAGGCUCAGACUUCCUCCUGGACUUAUGUUGUGAUCUGGACAGCCUCUACCAAGCAAAUGCAAUCAGCACGUGGGAGGAAAUCUUGCCAUCUGUGGCCAGGUGGCCACAGCAAGUUGGGUCCCAGGACUAUGGCGAUGUUGCUGGGUGUCAUCUUGUUCACCUCCUGCUCCUCGGCCAGCCGUGCCAGGAACUUCAUCAGCUCCUCCUCCUCCUCCUUCAGCGUCUCCACCUUGUUGGCCAUGGUCGUAUGGCUGUGACUACCCGGGCUGCCUCCUAGGCCUUGACUGCUGCCUGAAUUCUUGGUUGCCUGACUGAGCCUGGAGAUGAUCCCAAGGGUCAUCUCAAACUCGGCCAGGAUGCGGGCCAGCUGAUUCUGGAUGGCACAGCUCAUCUCCAAGGCCUUCCUGUGGACACGGCACCCCAUGGGUCCAGGCGCCCGCUGCCCUCACCUCCACUGGAAACACUUGGUGGGGCCUCUCCUCCCUCACUUCCGGCCCCUCCUAGAUAUCCUUCAUCUCUGCUAAGCUGAACACCCUCCCAGGCCUGGCCACCCUCACUGACCUGGGAACUGUCCCCAGCCUGGUCAUUCUUCUGAUGUGGAUGCCCUCACCACCUGGACCCCCUCCCAGCUGAGAUCACGUCUUGGUAUCCCCAGGUGAGGGCUGGGCCCCGUCUGUGCUCACCCCAUGCUGGAAUCAGGGUCCAGCUCCUUGAAGCUCUCAGCCAUCGUGGUGGACAGAGCCAUGAGGGGAAGCUUCUUCUGCAGGGAGGGUGGGGCCGGCGAUGAGUGUCCGUGCCUCCCUCCACCCUGCCUGAGCACCAGGCCAGCCCCUUGGGGCAGGGGAGGAGGGAACCCAGGAGGGCCACAGUCCCAGAUGAGAGUGGAAACAAGAUGACAAGGCGUGGUGGGGGUGACAUUUCCCUGAGAGCAUGGAUGGAGCCCCUCUCCAUCUGGCGUGCCCUUUCCUCUUCCCAGAAGCCACUUGACUGGGCAGGAAGGAAUGACCAAGUCCUACUGCAGACUGGGAAACUAAGAUGCAGGGAGGGCAGGGAGCUUGCCCCAGGUCACACAGGUGGAGGGAGAAUGGGAGCGGGAGCUCUUUCCCCUGUCCCAGGGUAUAUAUGGCUGACCUAGCCACCGCUGAGUUCAAACGCUCUAUGGCUCCCAAUUUCCUUGCCUUGGCCACACUGAAUUGUCAACUGAUUCCAAAACAUGGCCCCACACUCCCACCCCAUCUGGAGUUACGGGGAAUGCCUGCUCUGGGAUCAGAGACCAGGGUUCAAACCUCAGUUCUGCCACUUACUAGCUAUGUGACCUUGGACAAGUGACUUUAUCUCUGAGCCUCCAGUUCCUCAUGUGUAAAGCAAUGCCUGCCCCUAGGGUUGUGCCAGUGUUCCAUGAGACAGUGCACUCAUAUGUUAGUAACAAGCUGGCGGUUAUCAGCCAAUAAACGCUGCCUCUUGAUUAAUAAACGUGUAUCCCUCAAAAGCCAGCUCAAUUGCUACCUCCUUCAGGAAACCCUCUGAGGCCGCCCCAUUGACAGCCUGCUCUUGCGCACUGAUUGGACAGAGAAGUUCAGGUGCUGUCAGAAGCCUGGCCUUGGCUUAUGGGAACUGGUGCACAGGGAAGUGGGGUAAAGGUGAUGGGGAAGGUAUAGGGCCUCUUGAGUGCAGUGCCAGAGGGGCCUUGGAACAGAGCAGUCUCCAUGCCCUUGGUGCCAGACACUCAGACUGGCAAGGAAACCCCAGCCCCGAC
rnacentral:lncRNA from 10 species